AAUGAACGCUGGCGGCAGGCCUAACACAUGCAAGUCGAACGGCAGCACAGUAAGAGCUUGCUCUUAUGGGUGGCGAGUGGCGGACGUGUGAGGCAUAUAUCCGACUCUACUUUUUCGUGGGGGUUAACGUAGGGAAACUUACGCUAAUACCGCAUACGACCUACGGUUGAAAGCAGGGGAUCUUCGGACCUUGUGCGAUUGAAUGAGCCGAUGUCGGAUUUGCUAGUUGGCGGGGUAAAGGCCCACCAAGGCGACGAUCCGUAGCUGGUCUGAGAGGAUGGUCAGCCACACUGGAACUGAGACACGGACCAGACUCCUACGGGAGGCAGCAGAGGGGAAUAUUGGACAGGGGGCGGGAGCCUAGUCCAGACAUCCCGCGUCGGUGGAAGAGGCCUUGGGGUUGUAAAGCCCUUCUGUUGGGAAAGAAAAGCAGCAGGUUAUUACCCCGCUGUUCUGACGGUACCCAAAGAAUAAGCACCGGCUAACUUCGUG
rnacentral:rRNA from 1 species